UACGUAGGGUGCAAGCGUUAAUCGGAAUUACUGGGCGUAAAGCGUGCGCAGGCGGUUUUGUAAGUUUGUCGUGAAAGCCCCGGGCCUCAACCUGGGGAAUUGCGAUGAAGACUGCAAGGCUUGAAUCUGGCAGAGGGGGGUAGAAUUCCACGUGUAGCAGUGAAAUGCGUAGAGAUGUGGAGGAACACCGAUGGCGAAGGCAGCCCCCUGGGUCAAGAUUGACGCUCAUGCACGAAAGCGUGGGGAGCAAACAGG
rnacentral:rRNA from 1 species